UACGGGGGGGGCAAGCGUUGUUCGGAAUUACUGGGCGUAAAGGGCUCGUAGGUGGCCAACUAAGUCAGACGUGAAAUCCCCAGGCUCAACUUGGGAACUGCGUCUGAUACUGGAUGGCUUGAAUUCGGGAGAGGAUAGCGGAAUUCCCAGUGUAGAGGUGAAAUUCGUAGAUAUUGGGAAGAACACCGGUGGCGAAGGCGGCUAUCUGGACCGACAUUGACGCUGAGGCGCGAAAGCGUGGGGAGCAAACAGG
rnacentral:rRNA from 1 species